GUGAUUAAUGUAUAUUGUAUGUAUAUUGUAUACCCAGGAAAACCAAUAAAUAAUUUUAAAAGGAGACAUGAAUAAUAACACAAUAGAGGAGAUAACAUGAAAUCAUAAAUACUCGCUACACGAGCAAGCAGACAGAAGAAGAACAAAGACACAGGAACAAAUGAAAAAGUACUGCAGAAGUGACAGAUUUUAAUCCAACCGUAUCAAUAACUAUACUACACAAAAAUGAUGUAAACACACCAAUUAAAAAUGAUUUUCAGAUUGGAUUAAAGAAAACACAAAACGCAACCUAACGCUGCGUCGUAGUUAGUCCAAAUUCACGUUUCAGUGUUUGACUCCUGGUGGCUUUUAAGC
rnacentral:lncRNA from 10 species